rnacentral:rRNA from 1 species
GACGAACGCUGGCGGCGUGCCUAAUACAUGCAAGUCGAACGCUUCUUUCCUCCCGAGUGCUUGCACUCAAUUGGAAAGAGGAGUGGCGGACGGGUGAGUAACACGUGGGUAACCUACCCAUCAGAGGGGGAUAACACUUGGAAACAGGUGCUAAUACCGCAUAACAGUUUAUGCCGCAUGGCAUAAGAGUGAAAGGCGCUCUCGGGUGUCGCUGAUGGAUGGACCCGCGGUGCAUUAGCUAGUUGGUGAGGUAACGGCUCACCAAGGCCACGAUGCAUAGCCGACCUGAGAGGGUGAUCGGCCACACUGGAACUGAGACACGGCCCAGACUCCUACGGGAGGCAGCAGUAGGGAAUCUUCGGCAAUGGACGAAAGUCUGACCGAGCAACGCCGCGUGAGUGAAGAAGGUUUUCGGAUCGUAAAACUCUGUUGUUAGAGAAGAACAAGGACGUUAGUAACUGAACGUCCCCUGACGGUAUCUAACCAGAAAGCCACGGCUAACUACGUG